GACGAACGCUGGCGGCGUGCUUAACACAUGCAAGUCGAACGGAAAGGCCCUGCUUGCAGGGUACUCGAGUGGCGAACGGGUGAGUAACACGUGGGUGAUCUGCCCUGCACUUCGGGAUAAGCUUGGGAAACUGGGUCUAAUACCGGAUAGGAGCCAUCUUUAGUGUGGUGGUUGGAAAGUUUUUUCGGUGUAGGAUGAGCUCGCGGCCUAUCAGCUUGUUGGUGGGGUAAUGGCCUACCAAGGCGGCGACGGGUAGCCGGCCUGAGAGGGUGUACGGCCACAUGGGGACUGGGAUACGGCCCAGACCCCUACGGGGGGCAGCAGGGGGGAAUAUUGCAAAAGGGGGGCAGGCCUGAUGCGGGGACGCCGGGGGGGGGAUGAAGGCCUUGGGGUUGUAAACCCCUUUCGCUAGGGACGAAGCUUUGUUGUGACGGUACCUAGAUAAGAAGCACCGGCUAACUACGU
rnacentral:rRNA from 1 species